rnacentral:rRNA from 1 species
AGCGAACGCUGGCGGCAGGCCUAACACAUGCAAGUCGAACGAUCCUUCGGGAUAGUGGCGGACGGGUGAGUAACACGUGGGAACGUGCCCUUUGGUUCGGAAUAACUCAGGGAAACUUGAGCUAAUACCGGAUGUGCCCUUCGGGGGAAAGAUUUAUCGCCAUUGGAGCGGCCCGCGUCUGAUUAGCUAGUUGGUGAGGUAAAGGCUCACCAAGGCGACGAUCAGUAGCUGGCCUGAGAGGAUGAUCAGCCACACUGGGACUGAGACACGGCCCAGACUCCUACGGGAGGCAGCAGUGGGGAAUCUUGCGCAAUGGGCGGAAGCCUGACGCAGCCAUGCCGCGUGAAUGAUGAAGGUCUUAGGAUUGUAAAAUUCUUUCACCGGGGACGAUAAUGACGGUACCCGGAGAAGAAGCCCCGGCUAACUUCGUGCCAGCAGCCGCAGUAAAAC